GCGGGUGAGUAACACGUGGGCAACCUGCCUCAUAGAGGGGAAUAGCCUUCCGAAAGGGAGAUUAAUACCGCAUAAGAUUGUAGUACCGCAUGGUACAGCAAUUAAAGGAGCAAUCCGCUAUGAGAUGGGCCCGCGGCGCAUUAGCUAGUUGGUGAGGUAACGGCUCACCAAGGCGACGAUGCGUAGCCGACCUGAGAGGGUGAUCGGCCACAUUGGGACUGAGACACGGCCCAGACUCCUACGGGAGGCAGCAGUGGGGAAUAUUGCACAAUGGGGGAAACCCUGAUGCAGCAACGCCGCGUGAGUGAUGACGGCCUUCGGGUUGUAAAGCUCUGUCUUCAGGGACGAUAAUGACGGUACCUGAGGAGGAAGCCACGGCUAACUACGUGCCAGCAGCCGCGGUAAUACGUAGGUGGCGAGCGUUGUCCGGAUUUACUGGGCGUAAAGGGAGCGUAGGUGGAUUUUUAAGUGAGAUGUGAAAUACUCGGGCUUAACCUGAGUGCUGCAUUUCAAACUGGAAGUCUAGAGUGCAGGAGA
rnacentral:rRNA from 1 species